rnacentral:rRNA from 1 species
CACGUAGGGGGCAAGCGUUGUCCGGAUUUAUUGGGCGUAAAGGGCUCGUAGGCGGUCUGUUGCGUCGGGAGUGAAAACUCAGGGCUUAACCCUAAGCCUGCUUCCGAUACGGGCAGACUAGAGGUAUGCAGGGGAGAACGGAAUUCCUGGUGUAGCGGUGAAAUGCGCAGAUAUCAGGAGGAACACCGGUGGCGAAGGCGGUUCUCUGGGCAUUACCUGACGCUGAGGAGCGAAAGUGUGGGGAGCGAACAGG